CGAGGUGGAAGCAUGGUGACAUGUGGAGCUGACGAAUACUAAUCGAUCGAAGACUUAAUCAAAUU
rnacentral:rRNA from 1 species